rnacentral:rRNA from 1 species
GACGAACGCUGGCGGCGUGCCUAAUACAUGCAAGUCGAGCGAAGUUUUUCUGGUGCUUGCACCGGAAAAACUUAGCGGCGAACGGGUGAGUAUAACACGUAAAGAACCUGCCUCAUAGACUGGGACAACUAUUGGAAACGAUAGCUAAUACCGGAUAACAGCAUUAACUGCAUGGUUGAUGUUUGAAAGUUGGUUAUGCUAACACUAUGAGAUGGCUUUGCGGUGCAUUAGCUAGUUGGUGGGGUAAAAGCCUACCAAGGCGACGAUGCAUAGCCGACCUGAGAGGGUGAUCGGCCACACUGGGACUGAGACACGGCCCAGACUCCUACGGGAGGCAGCAGUAGGGAAUCUUCCGCAAUGGGCGAAAGCCUGACGGAGCAACGCCGCGUGAGUGAAGAAGGAUUUCGGUUCGUAAAGCUCUGUUGUUAGGGAAGAAUGAUUGUGUAGUAACUAUACACAGUAGAGACG